UACGAAGGGGGCUAGCGUUGUUCGGAAUUACUGGGCGUAAAGGGCGCGUAGGCGGUGUGUCAAGUCAGGCGUGAAAGCCCCGGGCUCAACCUGGGAACCGCGCUUGAGACUGGCACGCUCGAGUUCGGGAGAGGAUGGUGGAAUUCCCAGUGUAGAGGUGAAAUUCGUAGAUAUUGGGAAGAACACCGGUGGCGAAGGCGGGUCUCUGGGCCGUAACUGACGCUGAGGAGCGAAAGCAUGGGGAGCGAACAGG
rnacentral:rRNA from 1 species